AUUUCCCUGGGGAGUGCGUGAUUGCCCUAUAGCUUUUGAACCAAUAUAAAAAGUAAGGGAGCCAUGCAUCGCCGGAGUGGUGUGCAAGCCCGGUUCGACCGGGAAGCCUGAAACUUCGGGGGCGGCGCCCACCUGUUAGACUAGGUUCUAACGUAUACGGCAACACGGCAUCUCCGGGGUCCCA
rnacentral:other from 1 species